CACAUGAUCAGAAGGAGUCAUAGUUCCACUAAUCAGGAGGUCUAGAAGGAGUCAUAGUUCCACUGAUCAGGAGGUCAAGAAGGAGUCAUAGUUCCACUAAUCAGGAGGUCUAGAAGGAGUCAUAGUUCCACUGAUCAGGAGGUCUAGAAGGAGUCAUAGUUCCACUAAUCAGGAGGUCUAGAAGGAGUCAUAGUUCCACUGAUCAGGAGGUCUAGAAGGAGUCAUAGUUCCACUGAUCAGGAGGUCUAGAAGGAGUCAUAGUUCCACUAAUCAGGAGGUCUAGAAGGAGUCAUAGUUCCACUAAUCAGGAGGUCUAGAAGGAGUCAUAGUUCCACUAAUCAGGAGGUCUAGAAGGAGUCAUAGUUCCACUAAUCAGGAGGUCUAGAAGGAGUCAUAGUUCCACUAAUCAGGAGGUCUAGAAGGAGUCAUAGUUCCACUGAUCAGGAGGUCUAGAAGGAGUCAUAGUUCCACUAAUCAGGAGGUCUAGAAGGAGUCAUAGUUCCACUGAUCAGGAGGUCUAGAAGGAGUCAUAGU